rnacentral:rRNA from 1 species
GAUGAACGCUGGCGGCGUGCCUAAUACAUGCAAGUCGAGCGAACAGACGAGGAGCUUGCUCCUCUGACGUUAGCGGCGGACGGGUGAGUAACACGUGGAUAACCUACCUAUAAGACUGGGAUAACUUCGGGAAACCGGAGCUAAUACCGGAUAAUAUAUUGAACCGCAUGGUUCAAUAGUGAAAGACGGUUUUGCUGUCACUUAUAGAUGGAUCCGCGCCGCAUUAGCUAGUUGGUAAGGUAACGGCUUACCAAGGCAACGAUGCGUAGCCGACCUGAGAGGGUGAUCGGCCCACCUGGUACUGAGACACGGUCCAGACUCCUACGGGAGGCAGCAGUAGGGAAUCUUCCGCAAUGGGCGAAAGCCUGACGGAGCAACGCCGCGUGAGUGAUGAAGGUCUUCGGAUCGUAAAACUCUGUUAUUAGGGAAGAACAAAUGUGUAAGUAACUAUGCACGUCUUGACGGUACCUAAUCAGAAAGCCACGGCUAACUACGUG